AACGAACGCUGGCGGCAUGCCUAACACAUGCAAGUCGAACGAACCCUUCGGGGUGAGUGGCGCACGGGUGCGUAACGCGUGGGAACCUGCCCUUAGGUUCGGAAUAACGUUUCGAAAGGAACGCUAAUACCGGAUAAUGUCUUCGGACCAAAGAUUUAUCGCCUUUGGAUGGGCCCGCGUUGGAUUAGCUAGUUGGUGGGGUAAAGGCUCACCAAGGCGACGAUCCAUAGCUGGUCUUAGAGGAUGAUCAGCCACACUGGGACUGAGACACGGCCCAGACUCCUACGGGAGGCAGCAGUGGGGAAUAUUGGACAAUGGGCGAAAGCCUGAUCCAGCAAUGCCGCAUGAGUGAUGAAGGCCUUAGGGUUGUAAAGCUCUUUUACCAGGGAUGAUAAUGACAGUACCUGGAGAAUAAGCUCCGGCUAACUCCGUG
rnacentral:rRNA from 1 species